rnacentral:rRNA from 1 species
UACGGAGGGAGCUAGCGUUAUUCGGAAUUACUGGGCGUAAAGCGCACGUAGGCGGCUUUGUAAGUUAGAGGUGAAAGCCUGGAGCUCAACUCCAGAAUUGCCUUUAAGACUGCAUCGCUUGAACAUCGGAGAGGUGAGUGGAAUUCCGAGUGUAGAGGUGAAAUUCGUAGAUAUUCGGAAGAACACCAGUGGCGAAGGCGACUCACUGGACGAUUGUUGACGCUGAGGUGCGAAAGCGUGGGGAGCGAACAGG